rnacentral:lncRNA from 1 species
CCUGCUGUAACAUAAGGUAUAUAAGUUGUGUUGGGGUAAAUCGACCGAUCCCGAUUUUGAUCUUCGUGACUCCGACCAUGCAUCGAUCGAACAAACAGCUCCGAUUCUUCAUUGACCGACCGAAUUAAUUACAUCGAUCUAUUGUCAGCUGAUCAAUUAAGAUCGAUUGAUCGACUGAUAUUCGACUAUCGACUACCGAUCAAUGACAGAUGACUUGACCGUCGGUAUAAUAGAUCUAAUAGCCGAUGGUCGCUCACAGAUUCUACC